AAAAAAAAACACGAUGUGAAAUAAAUACUUGUGACCUCAUUCGCUGUUGUUAUUUACAAAAGCCAGGGCCAGAGAUGACGCUUGGCCAUCCCCUGCUGUUCCCAGGGAACGCAGCACUUUCCUAAAGUGUCCUUUAUAAAGAUAAAUGGGAACCAGCAUCCAGCAAAUCACCGCGCUCGGCGAAAUGCCUUCCUAAAAAUACAAUCUUAUCAAAGGUCUCCGAAGGCGUGAAGUUGAAACUACAGCAAAUGGCCUUGAACUUGUAUUUGCACACAGCCCUGGAGAAAACACCAGAAAUAGCAUUGCAAGGCCACAAUUGUUAAAAUGUGAUAGGGCUAAAUUUAGAAGAACUCUCAUUUCAUUUAGGGCAAAAGACACACAUUCAGCGGCGGGAGCUAACGCAAUGCCUUACCCGGUUGUCUACUUCCCUGUUUAAAAUAUCCUCAAAAAAAAAAAAAAAAAAAAACUGUGACAGUGACAUUUUAAAGGCUGACAUUGUCCUACUUUCUUUGUAGCAAGAUUAUAAAAUCACGUAAUUAGCUCCCGCUUCCUAUGCUGCCUGCCAGCAAAUUCGGCAGUUACAUAAUGCAACAUUUCCAGGAAACUAUUAUGUGAUCUGUCUCGUCGUGUCUGAAAAAGCAAUGACAAUAAGGUGAGAAACAGGGCUGAUGGAGUGGAACGCAUUAAAAGCACGGAGGUACGGAGGUCAAGACCACAAUGGUUCGCCCCAGAUUUAAAAAUAAUAGCUCGCAACAGCUACGGGGCAAACCCCGGGAGUAUCCAAGAUCAGAAUACAACCCGAGGGGUUCUUCGCGUUUUGCAGGAGGCGUGUGUACAAAAUCUCCGUCUUUAUCCGGGACGUGCCAAUAACGACCUCCUGUCCAACGCCGCGCCACAAUUUCCAAAUCAUCGCACACGUACGCGCACAUUCCCACAUCAGCCCCGUAACCCGAGCCAAUAUUUCACCGUGGGCAGAUUAUGCAAUCCGGGCAAGGACGAAUCCUACAACCUUCUCGGGCGCUGGACACAUUUCUUCAAGAAGAAAAAUUUGAACCAAACCCCAAAGUAAAGAAAGAGAAGAGUAGACUGAACCCCCAGCCCCACCCCGCCACCAGGCUAACAUCACUGGUGCCCAUCAUCAAGCGUAAAUCUGCUUGGGCUGAAGAUUCCUUGAGAGAGGAGCGGACGUGCAAGGAUUCGGCGCCAGGCUCUGCGUGUGCCGUUGGCGCGCUCUGGUUCUGCUCGGGGCUCCUCUAG
rnacentral:lncRNA from 1 species